CUGUUGCAACAACAGAUCAAAGACCGAUUAUUUAAUUAUAUUUGUAAACAUUUAUGCAUGCAUAAAGGGAUACAGGGUGUAGCUUCAUUGUGACCUAGAGAAAACUCUUGAGAAUUCUUCUUAAUUACGUGUCCAUUUUUUAUUGACGGAACUUUAUUAAAGUUCUGUUUUCUAACUAUUAUCCAUAUACGAAUAAAUGAAUGGAUGUAUAUUUGAUUGACCACGUUUUUAAAGAAUACUUGUACAAUAUAACAUACUAUCAUAGCAAAAGAUGAUUUAAACAAUUAUUGCGGAGUUUGAAAAAGAACGAUUACAAUUGAAUAAAGAAUAUCACGAUUGGACAUGCCACUUCUAUGAGAAUAUCUUGUAUAUUGACUGUUAAAGUUAUUACACAGAGUGAUCCAUUCAUUAAAUAUAGGUGGCAGCAUUUUGUUAAGGCAGCUGUGCAUAAAUAAACAAAUUAAAUUUUUGAUUCGGAGUUCAACAUAAAGUCAAUUCAUGGAUGUACGUGCAAGUUGUUUAGAAAUAAAAAAAUUUUUAGUGCA
rnacentral:misc_RNA from 1 species